AUUGAACGCUGGCGGCAUGCCUUACACAUGCAAGUCGAACGGUAACAGGUCUUCGGAUGCUGACGAGUGGCGAACGGGUGAGUAAUGCAUCGGAACGUGCCCAGUAGUGGGGGAUAGCCCGGCGAAAGCCGGAUUAAUACCGCAUACGACCUGAGGGUGAAAGGGGGGGAUCGCAAGACCUCUCGCUAUUGGAGCGGCCGAUGUCAGAUUAGCUAGUUGGCGGGGUAAAGGCCUACCAAGGCAACGAUCUGUAGUUGGUCUGAGAGGACGACCAGCCACCCUGGGACUGAGACACGGCCCAGACUCCUACGGGAGGCAGCAGUGGGGAAUUUUGGACAAUGGGCGCAAGCCUGAUCCAGCAAUGCCGCGUGCAGGAAGAAGGCCUUCGGGUUGUAAACUGCUUUUGUCAGGGAAGAAAUCUUCUGGGUUAAUACCUCGGGAGGAUGACGGUACCUGAAGAAUAAGCACCGGCUAACUACGUGCCAGCAGCCGCCGUAAGAC
rnacentral:rRNA from 1 species